rnacentral:rRNA from 1 species
AUUGAACGCUGGCGGCAUGCCUUACACAUGCAAGUCGAACGGUAACAGGUCUUCGGAUGCUGACGAGUGGCGAACGGGUGAGUAAUAUAUCGGAACGUGCCCAGUCGUGGGGGAUAACGUAGCGAAAGUUACGCUAAUACCGCAUACGAUCUAUGGAUGAAAGCGGGGGAUCGCAAGACCUCGCGCGAUUGGAGCGGCCGAUAUCAGAUUAGGUAGUUGGUGGGGUAAAGGCCCACCAAGCCAACGAUCUGUAGCUGGUCUGAGAGGACGACCAGCCACACUGGAACUGAGACACGGUCCAGACUCCUACGGGAGGCAGCAGUGGGGAAUUUUGGACAAUGGACGCAAGUCUGAUCCAGCCAUUCCGCGUGCAGGAUGAAGGCCCUCGGGUUGUAAACUGCUUUUGUACGGAACGAAAAGGUCUCCAUUAAUACUGGGGGCUCAUGACGGUACCGUAAGAAUAAGCACCGGCUAACUACGUGCCAGCAGCCGCAGUAACAC